UGUCAAACUUGGGGUCCGCUAGCCGUAA
rnacentral:piRNA from 1 species